rnacentral:rRNA from 1 species
GUUGAACGCUGGCGGCGUGCUUAACACAUGCCAGUCGAACGGAAAGGGCCAAGAUUGUUUGGGUACUCGAGUGGCGAACGGACGAGUAACUAGUAGGUGAGCUGCCCUGCACUUGGGGAUAAGCACGGGUAACUGGGUCUAAUAACGGAUAGGAAGAUGGCUUGGAUGCCAUGGUGGAAAGUAUUUUCGGUGGGGGUUGGGUUCGCGGCCUAUCGGCUCGUUGGUGGGGUGAUGGCCUACCCAGGCGUCGACGGGUAGCCGGCCUGUGGGGGUGUACAUCCACAUUGGGACUGAGAGGCGGCCCAGACGCCGACUAGAGGAAGCAGUGGGGAAGAUUGCUCAAGGGGUGCAAGCCGUAUGCAGCGAGGCCGCGGGUGGGAAAACGGCCUUCGGGUUGUAGACGCCAUUCGCUAUGGACCAAGCGUUUAGUGACGGUACCUGGAGAAGAAGCACCGGCUAACUACGUG